rnacentral:rRNA from 1 species
UACGUAGGGGGCUAGCGUUGUCCGGAUUUAUUGGGCGUAAAGAGCGUGUAGGCGGCCAGGUAGGUCCGUUGUGAAAACUCGAGGCUCAACCUCGAGACGUCGGCGGAAACCCUCUGGCUAGAGUCCGGAAGAGGAGAGUGGAAUUCCUGGUGUAGCGGUGAAAUGCGCAGAUAUCAGGAAGAACACCCGUGGCGAAGGCGGAUCUCUGGGCCUUACCUGACGCUCAGGUGCGAAAGCUAGGGGAGCGAACAGG